UAGUCCACGCCGUAAACGAUGGUUACUAGCUGUUCGGACUUCGGUCUGAGUGGCUAAGCGAAAGUGAUAAGUAACCCACCUGGGGAGUACGUUCGCAAGAAUGAAACUCAAAGGAAUUGACGGGGGCCCGCACAAGCGGUGGAGCAUGUGGUUUAAUUCGAUGAUACGCGAGGAACCUUACCAGGGCUUAAAUGUAGUCUGACAGCUUUAGAGAUAGAGUUUUCUUCGGACAGAUUACAAGGUGCUGCAUGGUUGUCGUCAGCUCGUGCCGUGAGGUGUCAGGUUAAGUCCUAUAACGAGCGCAACCCCUGUUGUUAGUUGCCAGCGAGUAAUGUCGGGAACUCUAGCAAGACUGCCGGUGCAAACCGCGAGGAAGGUGGGGAUGACGUCAAAUCAUCAUGGCCUUUAUGCCUGGGGCUACACACGUGCUACAAUGGUACCGACAAAGGGUCGCAAACUCGUGAGAGCUAGCCAAUCCCAAAAACGGUAUCUCAGUUCGGA
rnacentral:rRNA from 1 species